AGAAAGAGCUGAUCGGGAGAAUACAGCGUGAGGUUCAGAGAAAAUCUGAGGAGCCCACCAACCAGGUCAGAAGAGCAGGAGGGUCAGCAAGGGAAAUACUCUGUCAAUAUUUCACCACAACACUGGAACAGAAAUGAAAAGAAGACGGUCACUAAUCAUAAUGACAGUAGCAAUGGCAGCUGUCACAACAGCCACACAGGGACUCUGUUCCGUGGACCUGAAAAGCACAGCUGCUGUCUGAAGACCAGGCCAAGUCUGGGCUCGCUGCUGUAUGGCAGCCUCUCCUUGGUUCUCUGCCUUCUCCAUUGGCAUCGGCUUUUGGAGGCUGCCACCAGCUCUGGACUUGCACUUAUCCCACAUCAUUUGGAGGCCAGAAUGAAGUGGCUUUGCAUCGCCCUGCUCAGGAGUUCGUCCUGCUCAGGAGUUCGCUCCAUCAGUGUAGCACACACCUGCAUUGCAGACCUGAAGCUAGAGACACACAGGCACCCUAACUCAGCUUUACCAAUUGGGAAUGGAGAAGGGAAACAUUGUCCUGAAAGAAUUCUCAAAUAAAGCACAUGAGGAAGGAAUUGAUUUGGAAGAACAGUCUUUUAUAGAAGAAAGAGCACGGGGGUAGAAGCAUGAGACGCCUGGCCACACAGCAUCCACAGUCAGCAAGCAAAGAGCUGUGGGCUGGGGCUCAGCUUGCCUCCUCCGUUUUAUUCGGGGUGGGACUCCAGCAUGUCGCUGCCCUCAUGCAGGGUGCAUAGUCCCUGCUCAGCUAAACCUUGCUGGAAACACCCUCCCCUUGAUACCCACAGGUGUGUUUCCAUGGUGAUUCCAAAUGCUGUCAAGUUAACAAUGAAGAUUAACAAUCACAGACAAUCCGAUAUUGAACACGCCAAGUGCUGAAGGUCAUGUCAACCUGGAAUCAAAGGAAAGGGUCUGGACAGCUCACAUCCUUGGCCUGAUGACUGCUGUGGCUGGGCCCUUUAAAGAAUUUGACUCUGGAUCCCCCAAAUGUAUCUGUUGUGUACAACUCUGUACUGUUCCCCUUCCCUCUGCAGCUCCAAGCUCCCUAGGCCUCCUGCCUUCCCGUCCCUCCCGUCCUGUGCCCC
rnacentral:lncRNA from 1 species